UGGGGAAUAUUGCACAAUGGGCGCAAGCCUGAUGCAGCCAUGCCGCGUGUAUGAAGAAGGCCUUCGGGUUGUAAAGUACUUUCAGCGGGGAGGAAGGCGAUAAGGUUAAUAACCUUGUCGAUUGACGUUACCCGCAGAAGAAGCACCGGCUAACUCCGUGCCAGCAGCCGCGGUAAUACGGAGGGUGCAAGCGUUAAUCGGAAUUACUGGGCGUAAAUCGCACGCAGGCGGUCUGUCAAGUCGGAUGUGAAAUCCCCGGGCUCAACCUGGGAACUGCAUUCGAAACUGGCAGGCUAGAGUCUUGUAGAGGGGGGUAGAAUUCCAGGUGUAGCGGUGAAAUGCGUAGAGAUCUGGAGGAAUACCGGUGGCGAAGGCGGCCCCCUGGACAAAGACUGACGCUCAGGUGCGAAAGCGUGGGGAGCAAACA
rnacentral:rRNA from 1 species